rnacentral:rRNA from 1 species
GACGAACGCUGGCGGCGCGCUUAACACAUGCAAGUCGAGCGAAACGGCGGACGGGUGAGUAACACGUGAGUAACCUGCCUUAGACAUUGGGAUAGCCUCGGGAAACCGGGAUUAAUACCAAAUGGUCCAAGAUGGACUCUCGUCCCAUUAGCUAGUUGGUGGUGAACGGCCCACCAAGGCGACGAGGCGUAGCCGGCCUGAGGUGGUGAACGACCACAUUGGAACUGAGAAACGGUCCAAACUCGACGGGAGGCAGCAGUGGGGAAUAUUGCACAAUGGAGGGAACUCUGAUGCAGCGACACCGCGUGAAAGAAGAAGGCUUUAGAGUCGUAAAGUUCUGUUAUAUGGGAAGCGGUACCAUAAGAAAAAGCCCCGGCUAACUACGUGACAGCCGCCGCGGUAAUUC